UACGGAGGGUGCGAGCGUUGUCCGGAAUCACUGGGCGUAAAGGGCGCGUAGGUGGCGCGGUCAGUCAACGGUGAAAGUUCGGGGCUCAACCCUGGAUCGGCCGUCGAUACUCCCGUGCUUGAGCACUGUAGAGGCAGAUGGAAUUCCGGGUGUAGCGGUGGAAUGCGUAGAGAUCCGGAAGAACACCGGUGGCGAAGGCGGGUCUCUGGGCCGAUACUGACGCUGAGGAGCGAAAGCGUGGGGAGCGAACAGG
rnacentral:rRNA from 1 species